rnacentral:rRNA from 1 species
AGAGUUUGAUCCUGGCUCAGGAUGAACGCUAGCGGCAGGCCUAACACAUGCAAGUCGAGGGGUAGAAGAAGCUUGCUUCUUUGAGACCGGCGCACGGGUGCGUAACGCGUAUGCAAUCUACCUUAUACAGGGGAAUAGCCCAGAGAAAUUUGGAUUAAUGCCCCAUGGUAUUAUUGAAUGGCAUCAUUUGAUAAUUAAAGUUCCAACGGUAUAAGAUGAGCAUGCGUCCCAUUAGUUAGUUGGUAAGGUAACGGCUUACCAAGACUAUGAUGGGUAGGGGUCCUGAGAGGGAGAUCCCCCACACUGGUACUGAGACACGGACCAGACUCCUACGGGAGGCAGCAGUGAGGAAUAUUGGUCAAUGGACGCAAGUCUGAACCAGCCAUGCCGCGUGCAGGAAGAAGCAUCUAUGGUGUGUAAACUGCUUUUAUACAGGAAGAAACAACGCUACGUGUAGCGUCUUGACGGUACUGUAAGAAUAAGGACCGGCUAACUCCGUGCCAGCAGCCGCGGUAAUACGGAGGGUCCAAGCGUUAUCCGGAAUCAUUGGGUUUAAAGGGUCCGUAGGCGGCCUUAUAAGUCAGUGGUGAAAUCUCCUAGCUCAACUAGGAAACUGCCAUUGAUACUGUAGGGCUUGAAUUUUUGUGAAGUAACUAGAAUAUGUAGUGUAGCGGUGAAAUGCUUAGAUAUUACAUGGAAUACCAAUUGCGAAGGCAGGUUACUAACAAACGAUUGACGCUGAUGGACGAAAGCGUGGGGAGCGAACAGGACUAGAUACCCUGGUAGUCCACGCCGUAAACGAUGGAUACUAGCUGUUCGGAGCAAUCUGAGUGGCUAAGCGAAAGUGAUAAGUAUCCCACCUGGGGAGUACGUUCGCAAGAAUGAAACUCAAAUGAAUUGACGG